CCUACGGGAGGCUGCAGUGAGGAAUAUUGGUCAAUGGGCGGAAGCCUGAACCAGCCAAGUCGCGUGCAGGAUGACGGCCCUACGGGUUGUAAACUGCUUUUAUACGGGAGUAAAGCGCCUUACGUGUAUCGCUUUGCAAGUACCGUAUGAAUAAGCACCGGCUAACUCCGUGCCAGCAGCCGCGGUAAUACGGAGGGUGCGAGCGUUAAUCGGAAUUAUUGGGGUUAAAGGGUGCGCAGGCGGUUGAGUAAGUCAGAUGUGAAAUGCCCGAGCUUAACUCGGGAAUGGCAUAUAUGACUGUUCGACUAGAGUGUGGUAGAGGGAGGUGGAAUUCAAGGUGUAGCAGUGAAAUGCGUAGAUAUGUGGAAGAACACCGAUGGCGAAGGCAGCCUCCUGGGACAUAACUGACGCUCAGGCACGAAAGCGUGGGGAGCAAACAGGAUUAGAUACCCGAGUAGUC
rnacentral:rRNA from 1 species